rnacentral:rRNA from 1 species
GACGAACCGUGCGAACGUUGUUCGGAUUCACUGGGCUUAAAGGGCGCGUAGGCGGGUGGACAAGUCAGGGGUGAAAUCUUUCGGCUCAACCGGAAAACAGCUUCUGAUACUGUCCGUCUAGAGGGAGGUAGGGGUGCGUGGAACUUCUGGUGGAGCGGUGAAAUGCGUAGAUAUCAGAAGGAACGCCGGUGGCGAAAGCGACGCACUGGAUCUCUACUGACGCUGAGGCGCGAAAGCCAGGGGAGCGAACGGG